AAAACAAACAAACUGUACGAGAUUAACGCUACUACUCCGUAUUUUACAGUAGGCUACCACAGUUGUGAAAGUAAGCCAUAAUAGACAAAGAAACCAAAAGGGAAAAUACCGAAGAUGUUAGAUUUGUUAAGUUUGUCUAGCUUACGUUAACGUUAAAUUUUAUUGGAUGUUUGUCAUCAUCUCGAUUAAUGUAAAGUUAUUUAGCUUGUAGGUAGCAAUGUUAGCUAGUUAUUUGACGUGUGUAGUACAGGUGUACACAGAUUAAUCCUCGCCUCCAUUAUUACUGUUGGCAGUGGUGGCAGAAAUCUCCUCUAAAAACCUGAUAACAUAAAACUGGCUUCUGCAUUACUAGACACCAUUAGAGGUUCUUCCUGGAUGGAAACAUGUGGAGGUGAAGUAUAGUACUGCCAAAUGGACAUGUGAAUGUCCUGGACAUCAUCAAUGUUAACCAGCGUGUCAUCUCUGGUACAUGUUUCAAGCCAGCAGGUUUAGUCCCAUGCCAUGCAAAUGGACAGUCUCCUGUGGGAAGAAAUAUGUGCCUGGGGGACCAUAGCCAAGGAUCAGGUCAUGCUCUUCUACUGUGAGAAAUAAGACUUGAAGCUUUCUUCAUGUAAACCAGAUGUCUCUGCUUUCCAUCUCAGCUCAGACCACUGAGACCCCGAGUGAGUACACCUCUAAUGGAGCACAGUUAUACUCAACCUAUGGAAAGUACAAGGUCACUUGUAACAUAGAUCAAAAAUACCACUCUGACACUGCUUUUUAAACAAGGGGAGAGGAUGUGUUUGAAUGCCAGGAUCAUGCUAUAAUAAAUUACAGUUGGUCACUUGAAUCAUAUGCAUCACAGACAUAUAACAGAUCAUAUCCUGGGAUAGACAACAGACCUUGACUAGGAUACACUUUGACCAAACACAAUAUAAUAAUGGAUUUCCAUUGAUAAUGGAGUCAUCCUCAGCACACUGUGGCACCAGGUAUUUGUACAUAACCUCUGGUUCCCUAUGUGACUUUGUGAAACACAGUAAAUACACACUGGAUGGCAUAACUUUUUUCUU